rnacentral:misc_RNA from 1 species
AAAAAUUGAGGUAUUCAUACCUCUUUUUGUAUUUAAAACCUUACUCUAUAAAACCUAAAAAAUUUUAUAUAUGAAAAUGAA